rnacentral:rRNA from 1 species
UACGUAGGGUGCGAGCGUUGUCCGGAAUUAUUGGGCGUAAAGAGCUUGUAGGCGGUCUGUCGCGUCUGCUGUGAAAAUCCGGGGCUCAACCCCGGACUUGCAGUGGGUACGGGCAGACUAGAGUGUGGUAGGGGAGACUGGAAUUCCUGGUGUAGCGGUGAAAUGCGCAGAUAUCAGGAGGAACACCGAUGGCGAAGGCAGGUCUCUGGGCCACUACUGACGCUGAGAAGCAAAAGCAUGGGGAGCGAACAGG